CCUACGGGUGGCAGCAGUGAGGAAUAGUGGGCAAUGGACGCAAGUCUGAACCAGCCAAGCCGCGUGCAGGAAGACGGCGCUAGGAGGUGUAAACUGCAUUUGUACGAGGGGAAACGCAGAUACGCGGACCUGUCUGAACGUAUCGUACGAAUAAGGAUCGGCUAACUCCGUGCCAGCAGCCGCGGUAAUACGGAGGAUUCAAGCGUUAUCCGGAUUUAUUGGGUUUAAAGGGGGCGUAGGCGGUCGCUUAAGUUAGAGGUGAAAUCCCGAGGCUCAACUUCGGAAUUGCCUCUGAUACUGUUCGGCUAGAGAGUAGUUGCGGUAGGCGGAAUGUGUGGUGUAGCGGUGAAAUGCUUAGAUAUCAUGCAGAACCCCGAUUGCGUAGGCAGCUUACCAAGCUACAUCUGACGUUGAGGCACGAAAGCGUGGGGAGCAAACAGGAUUAGAUACCCUGGUAGUC
rnacentral:rRNA from 1 species